AAAUUUAGGUUCACAAAACCAAGGGCCUUCAAAGCCCUAAACAGGGGCCACCCCCUAAUUUCUG
rnacentral:tRNA from 1 species